rnacentral:rRNA from 1 species
UACGGAGGAUCCAAGCGUUAUCCGGAAUUACUGGGCGUAAAGAGUUGCGUAGGUGGCAUAAUAAGCGAGUAGUGAAAGCGUUCGGCUCAACCGAAUAUCCAUUACUUGAACUAUUAAGCUAGAGGAUGAGAGAGGUUAUUGGAAUUCCCUGUGUAGGAGUGAAAUCCGUAGAUAUAGGGAGGAACACCGAUGGCGUAGGCAGAUAACUGGCUCAUUCCUGACACUAAGGCACGAAAGCGUGGGUAGCAAACGGG